GUUCAGCUUCCAAUUCUUGUAAACAUACGUACAAAUUUCACUUUCUGAUUUCUGGAAACCAAAAGUGAGGUGCUUCUCAGUAAACUUUUUGCGCUGCAGAAAUUGAUGUUCAUGCAAAUGAUCCUCCUAAUCUAUGCUAAACAUUAAAAACUGCACUACUCAGCCACAGCCUGCCUUUGUAAAGCUGGGAUGUGCUGGCACAAAGACUCCCCCUCAUAUCAGAUGAAACAAUGCCAGCUACUCCAGCAGGACCAAGAAGAAAGCCUGAGCUGCAGCUGGAAUUCAGAAAUAGCAGCCAAGACAUAUCUGCCUAGACACACCAGGAUGGAAUUUGGGGAAUGUGAAGUGGAAGCUAAGCAGUGCCGGCAGCACCUGGAAGCAGCCAGCCUUCAUACCUGCCUUGGGAAGACACAGAGGAGAAAUCUCAUGCUCAAGGGGGACCAGUUAAUAUGAGUUUCUGAAGGGACCAGCCACCAUCCAUGCAGUAGAGGAAUUAAAUUACUGAAGACCAGAAGACAGAGAGAGAAAAACAUUUGGGGUCUGUGGCUUACUGCCAUUCAGACAUGUGCAAGUACAUGAGGCAGUUCGGUACAACCCCCCUCUGCAAAUAUUCACUCUCCAUAUGAGGUUUAAGCAUCUGACUUCAGUUGCUGCCAAUAAAAUAUAUUAGGCUGACAAUGUUUCAGCAUGAAAGGCAACCACUGAAGCCAACAUCAGUGUUUCUCUUUCCCUCAAAUAUGAGGGCAAAGCCCCAUAGCCUAAUAGUGAAACUCAGCAAAUGAAGAAAACCAAGUCAUUCUUUGUUAGAAUGAAACUUGUGAGAGCCAGGGCAUAACAGCAGCACGGAGAAGUUCCUGUUGGAGCCUGCAGUGGUUUGCAUAAGAUGAUCACCCCUCUUCUAGCAUGCAGCACUUUCAGAGGGGUUGCUGAUUCCUGCUGAAUUGGGGCUGGUUUUCUGUUUUUCCUGUUCUGUUGACACAUUGCUUACAAGAGUUCACCAAGGUCAGGUUUGCCUUCUUCUGUGCUGUUAAAAAAUGGAAAGCCACUGGAAAUGUUAAAGGGGUGAAGUUCAAGAAGCUGGCGUGGUUUCUGCUACAGAGCUGCUGUACAGCUUGGGAAUUUUCUGCCAGACUCAUUCAGUUUCAUCCAAGAGUUUCAGAAAAACAGGUGAUUUCAAGUUUCUGGGUGUUUUUAACUUUUAUUUUAAUUAAAUAAACUCAGAUUUGGUUCAAUAUAUAUAUUUUUU